UUCUUUACAAUUAUGAUUAGAUGAUGAUUAAAUUAAAGGUUUUAAUCUACACAGUAUAAAUCAUUGGCUCAUUAUAAACUUUUGAUGUCAAGAUUUCUUUUUAAUGUAUACAUCAUAAUGAUAAUAUUUUGUGCCGUUAUAAAUUGUACAUUGCCAUAUUAACUUUUAGGUAAAUGUAAUUAUUCUGGAUUAAAUUUUUGGAUACAACUAUAGAAAUGUUACUCAGGUUCUUAAAUGAUAUACAUUUUUAUUGAUCUAUUUAUAAAAAUGUUCACAUUAUUAAUAAACAUACAAAGUAUAAUUGUAUCUGGGACCUUUAGUGGUUUUUACAGUCACUACUGUGUUUAUAAAAUAUAUCAUAUCUCAAUUUACCCAAUUCAUUAUGUUAUAAAUAUAAGAAAAUGAAAGAGACAAAAUAUCCAGUUCCCAAAAGCUGGAAAUAACCUUUCAAUUUGAAGAUUGUUUAUGCAAGCUUCAAUCAACCAAUUGCAUUGUGUGCUAUUAUGAACUGUCCAGUGUUUUCCUAGUAAAUAAUUUUAUAAUGAUUUUUUAUGAAUUUUCUGUUUUUUUUUUUUUUGUAUUUAAAGCUUUGAAUCAUUGUGUUAUUUUCUUAACUUUGUCAACAUAUUUAUAUUUAUUGAAUCUACAUAAGCAUAUUACAAUUGAUUUUUUCUAAUCGGUUUUUUUUUUCAGAUUUGGAAUGUGUAAAUUCCUUAUUAAUGCAGAAGCCAUAAUGAACUGUAACCCAAGAGCAGUUUAAUGAAAGAUAUAUUCCUGGAAUUUUUUCAUUAUGGAUUUUAAUUUUAUAAUGAUUUUUUAUGAAUUUACUGUUUUUUUUUUUUGUAUUUAAAGCUUUGAAUCAUUGUGUUAUUUUCCAAACUUUGUCAACUUAUUUAUAUUUAUUGAAUCUACAUAUGCACAUUACAAUUGAUUUUUUCUAAUCGGUUGUUUUUUUUUUUCAGAUCUCGAAUGUGUAAAUUCCUUAUUAAUGCAGAAGCCAUAAUGAACUGUAACCCAAGAGCAGUUUAAUGAAAUAUAUUCCUGGAAUUUUUUCAUUAUGGAUUUUGAAUUGUCUCCUCUCAGAAUAUUAAUCACAUUCAGUUUUCUUCAUUCCUCUUUAUUCUGGUGAGUUUUUUUUAUAUUUAAUUAAAUAAGGGACUAUAUUUAUUUUAAUCAUAGAUAGUUUAUAAUAUUUUGCUUGUAAAAAUUUAAUACAAUGGAUAAUAAGUUAUUUUAAGC